AUGCACAGCUUUAGUGCACGUAAACCCCAUAAUACCACUGUGCACGUCCAAAACAAUAGUACACGAACCCACACCAUGGCCGGAGCUCACCAUAAGCUCCGGGAACUCUCGCACCACGUGCGGCGCACGGCCGCAGCGCUCGACAAGGCAAUGUCCCGCCUCUGCUCGCUCUGCAAGUCCUACGCGCAUCACCACGUCACGGAGCGUGCGGCGCGGUGGCGGCACGCGCUGCGGUGCGGCGCCGGGCAGGUCUGGCCGUCUCGGCUCGGCUCGCUGCUCGUACACGCCGCCUACCUCCUCGCCGUUUCCUGGCUCGGGUACCUCCUCCUGGACGAGCUCAAGUUCCGUGCACCGCCAGCCGGGCACGGCGGCGGGAGGGGCCGGUCCCGCGGCAUUGACCUGUUCUUCACCGCCGUGUCAGCCGUGACGGUGUCGAGCAUGUCCGCCGUCGAGAUGGAGGUGUUCUCCUACGGCCAGCUCUUCGUCCUGACCGUGCUCAUGUUUGCCGGAGGCGAGGUGUUCGUGUCACUCGUAGGCCUGGCGUCCAAAUGGUACAAGCUGCGGAAACAAGGUAUAAGCAUAUCGCAGCGAGUCCAGAGCCACGACGACGGAGGGGUCGAGCUCGAGACGACGCCACAGGUUGCCAACGCCGCCGACAUCGAAAGCUGGACGAGAAACUCCGACGAGACGAGCAAAAGCCCGAUAGACGCGAAGCGGCUGCGGCGCGAGGCGGUGCGCUCGCUGUCCCUAGUCGUCCUCGCCAUCCUCGUGGUGGCGCACGUACUCGGCGCCGCCGCCAUUGCGGCCUACGUCUACACGUCCCCGGGCGCGAGGAGGACGCUGCGGAGCAAGGCCCUGAGCGUGUGGACCUUCGCCGUGUUCACGACGGUUUCCACGUUCUCGAGCUGCGGGUUCAUGCCGAACAACGAGAACAUGGCGGCGUUCAGGCGGGACACCGGGCUGCAGCUGCUACUCAUGCCGCUUGCGCUAGCGGGGAACACGCUGUUCCCGACACUGCUGGCCGUGUGCGUGCGCGCUGCUGCGGCAGCGACGAGGAGGCCGGAGCUGGUGGAGAUGACGGCGAGAAACGGCAGGGAGCUGACGGGGUACUAUCACUUGCUACCCGCGCGGCGGUGCGCGAUGCUGGCGGCAACGGUGGCCGGGCUGGUCGCCGUGCAGGUGUGCAUGGUGUGCGGCAUGGAGUGGGGUGGCGCGCUGCGGGGUAUGGGCCCAUGGGAGAAGGUGUCCAACGCGGUGUUCGUGGCGGUGAACUCCCGGCACACCGGCGAGUCGACCCUCGACCUCUCCACCCUGGCGCCGGCCAUUCUCGUCCUCUUGGUGCUCAUGAUGUACCUGCCUCCAUACACCACAUGGUUUCCAUUUGAGGAGAGCUCGGGCGUGAAGGACCAUCCCACGGAGGAGACCCCGGGGGUCAGGUUGCUCAAGAGCACGGCUCUGUCACAACUCUCCUACCUCGCCAUCUUCAUCAUCGCCAUCUGCGUCACCGAGAGGGAAAACCUCGAGGAAAACCCCCUCAACUUCAGCUUGCUCAGCAUCGUCGUCGAAGUCGUCAGUGCGUAUGGAAAUGUGGGCUUCUCCAUGGGCUACAGUUGCAGUAGACAGAUCAGCCCGGACGCGCUGUGCACCGACAGGUGGACCGGCUUCGUCGGGAGGUGGAGCGAUUCUGGCAAGCUCAUCCUCAUUCUUGUGAUGCUCUUCGGGAGGCUCAAGAAGUUCAGCAUAAAAGGUGGCAAAGCCUGGAAGCUUGGUUAG
rnacentral:rRNA from 1 species